rnacentral:lncRNA from 1 species
CGAAUUCUACGGUAGUAACUUCACCACUUUCUAAUAAAGUAUGCAAAACAUAAAUUUAUAUGAUAAAGUACCAAAAGUAUUUGAAUCACUACACUAGUUUCAAAUCAUGAUAUCAACAAAACUACGAUAGUUGUAUAAUAUCCUCGAUCAGGCGGACCAAAACUCCUCCUCAACCACACUAACAAUGACCAUUCCAUAAAUAAUCUAUUGCACAAUCUUUUUCUACUGCAACAAUUUCAAUACAACGAAAUGUUGUUGUUACUUUAAUAAUGAACAAAUUCUGCUGCAUAAUUUUUUCUCGUAUACAUGGUCUAUAUAUAUUUCACUUGUGACUCAAUUAAAUGACCACACAAAAAUAUGUAAAUAGUAAAUAUUAAAUGACCACACAAUUAAAUUCUUCUUCGCUUACUUUGAGCUACAUCAGGUGAUGCGGUCGUAAUAUUGCAGCAGCUGCAGAGACAUUGUGUUGCCACCAGACCAUUGCAAUGCUUUGGUGAAUAUCUGAAUGGUAAAUAGAUAUAUCCCUUUGCAAACUGUGGCAGAAGAAGAAUUGCAACUCCAAGUGACAUUAUUUUUUCUAUAAAUAGGGUCACUUUUGACAUAAUGAAACCAACGAAUUCAAGUAAUUGUCAUCCAUUUUCUUUCACUCAUUCUCAUAUACUAAGUCAACUUAUUCUUUUCUAAUGCAUGAGAAAAGAAUAGGUAACAUUAUUUUGUAACAUACUAUUGAAAGAUAUUCUUGGUGUGAUUGUGCAAAUCAUAUCAAGGUUUUCAAAGUACCCUGAAGGGGAUUCGCGGGUUAUCUCAUUUGCAUCCGAUUGGUGGAGGUGAAUCGAAACUAAAGGCUAGUGUAACAACACACUUUGGAAUUUGCUACAUAUAAUCUUCAUCAACAGCUUCACUAUUAACGUCUUGCAACAAUUGCCACCAACACAGAUCCAACAGAUUAUGAAGUCAUCAAACAAAUUAUUUUUCUAUCGGACGUGUCUUUGUAUCAUAAAUUUAAAGUGUACUUUAAAUGGUUAAUAAUAUAUUAAAGUGAUAUAGAAUUGAUAAUAAAAUAGUUAGGAGAUAUUAUAGAUAAAAUAUGAAAUAUGUGAGUUAUAAAAGUAGUAAUACAUUAUAAUAUUUUUCACUAAAAAGAAUAAAUUAACGCUGCGAUUACUGCAAUAAGCAUCACAACUUCCGCAAUGCUUGCUACCACAACUUAAUUGCGAUCACAAUCUCAAUUUAAAACUAUAGUUAUGACCAUGUUCUUCACAUGUUUGAUAUGACCAUGGUUUUGCCAACAAUCGAUUUAUUGACAACUUGUAGACUUCUUUUGAUUCUUCCAGUUUUAGAUACUAUGGGAUCUAAUGAUUAAUUUAGGGUAUUCGCUUGCAUUUUCAAAUACAAUCGCAUAUCGAAAACUUGUUGCUAAAAAAAAGUGAAUAAUGCUAGCAAUACAUUUUUUUACACUGUCUUACUAAUAUAUUUUUUUUAUUGGUUAAAAUUCACAUAAAUUAUAGCAAACUUAAAUGAACUCACACAAUUUAUUGGAUUCCAUGAAAAUUUCGACCAACAAUAUGCUUCAUCAUAUCCCAUAAAUUCAUAAAUUAAAGUUGGCUACCACAUUUAGUAGUCUUUGUAUCAAUGUCCAUAUUUAUAAUACAUGGGUCUUGAGAAUCAAAACCACUUUUGGCAAUAUAUUUUCUCUAUAAAUUUACUAACAUUUGGUGAAAAAUGAAUAGCUUCAAAGUUAAUUUAUACGAUAUAAGAGAGUCACGGAUUCUAAUUUAUAAUAGAAUUGUUUAUCCUUCAACUAUUGUGAAAUUUUGUAGUGAAGUUUGACAAGACAGAGGAUAGCCGCUACGAGAAAGAAAGAAAAUAAGAAAAAGUUAUAAAUUAGUAUGAAAU